AACGAACGCUGGCGGCAGGCUUAACACAAGCAAGUCGAGCGGUAACACAGAGGAGCUUGCUCCUUGGGCGACGAGCGGCGGACGGGUGAGUAAUGCCUGGGGAUCUGCCCGAUAGAGGGGGAUAACUACGGGAAACUGUAGCUAAUACCGCAUAAUGUCUACGGACCAAAGUGGGGGCUCUUCGGACCUCAUGCUAUCGGAUGAACCCAGGUGGGAUUAGCUAGUUGGUGAGGUAAUGGCUCACCAAGGCGACGAUCUCUAACUGGUUUGAGAGAAUGACCAGUCACACUGGAACUGAGACACGGUCCAGACUCCUACGGGAGGCAGCAGUGGGGAAUAUUGCACAAUGGGCGCAAGCCUGAUGCAGCCAUGCCGUGUGUGUGAAGAAGGCCUUCGGGUUGUAAAGCACUUUCAGCGGGGAGGAAGGGCUACUAGUUAAUACCUAGUGGCAUUGACGUUACUCGCAGAAGAAGCACCGGCUAACUCCGUGCCAGCAGCCGCCGUAAAAC
rnacentral:rRNA from 1 species